GACGAACGCUGGCGGCGUGCUUAACACAUGCAAGUCGAACGGUAAGGCCCUUCGGGGUACACGAGUGGCGAACGGGUGAGUAACACGUGGGUGAUCUGCCCUGCACUUCGGGAUAAGCCUGGGAAACUGGGUCUAAUACCGGAUAGGACUCCUGCCUGCAUGGGUGGGGGUGGAAAGCUUUUGCGGUGUGGGAUGGGCCCGCGGCCUAUCAGCUUGUGGGUGGGGUGAUGGCCUACCAAGGCGACGACGGGUAGCAGGCCUGAGAGGGUGACCGGCCACACUGGGACUGAGAUACGGCCAAGACUCCUACGGGAGGCAGCAGGGGGGAAUAUUGCACAAUGGGCGCAAGCCUGAUGCAGCGACGCCGCGUGAGGGAUGACGGCCUUCGGGCUGUAAACCUCUUUCAGCACAGACGAAGCGCAAGUGACGGUAUGUGCAGAAGAAGGACCGGCCAACUACGUGCCAGCAGCCGCCGUAA
rnacentral:rRNA from 1 species